rnacentral:rRNA from 1 species
GAUGAACGCUAGCGGCAGGCUUAAUACAUGCGAGUCGAGGGGCAGCAGGACUGUAGCAAUACAGUUGCUGGCGACCGGCAAACGGGUGCGGAACACGUACGCAACCUACCCAAAACUGGGGGAUAGCCCGGGGAAACCCGGAUUAAUACCUCGUAACCUUUUUAAGUGGCAUCACUUGAUAAGUAUAGCUCCGGCGGUUUUGGAUGGGCGUGCGCCUGAUUAGGUAGUUGGUGCGGGUAACGGCCCACCAAGCCUGCGAUCAGUAACUGGUGUGAGAGCACGACCCGUCACACGGGCACUGAGACACGGGCCCGACUCCUACGGGAGGCAGCAGUAAGGAAUAUUGGUCAAUGGACGCAAGUCUGAACCAGCCAUGCCGCGUGAAGGAUGAAGGUCCUCUGGAUUGUAAACUUCUUUUAUGGGGGACGAAACCCGGAUAUUCUUAUCCGAUUGACGGUACCUCAGGAAUAAGCACCGGCUAACUCCGUG